rnacentral:lncRNA from 1 species
GCAAGCACAGCGCGGAGGUUAUGAAAGAACACAGUGCUGGCUGAACACACAUUCGCUGGAGCCCUUUCGGUUUUCGGGGAAGGGACCGAGCGCGGCCUCUAGCGGCCUCUCCUAGACCUGCUCUCCAGAGUCUUGACCCUUGUGGAUUGUUCAACUGAAACUCGGCCACAGCUCCGUGGGAAAGAGGCAGCGGGAUCGCGGGACGUUGUCCUCGGAAAACCUUCCACAAGCAGAGUCGUGGUCUGUCCUGCAGGCAAGCGUGUGAAUCCGGCUAGACCUGCCUCCCGAACGGUCGAGCUCCAGCGCAUUCACAAGGGCAUCCAGAGCUCCUCCCCCUCCUCCUCCCUCCAGGUCCUGCGGGUCCGACUCCUCCCCCAUCUCUGUUCCCCUCUCGUCUCAGUUAUCAAGUGCUGCCUGCCGCACCUAAUCUCAGGCAAUGAUUUGCAGCACUGGUUGCUGCAUUCCUUCAAACUCUCCUUUGCAAAGAUUCUGGGACCUAAUCUUUCUUUCUUUUUAAAAUUUUAUUGGAAUAUAGUUGAUGUACAAAAUUAUGUUAAUUUCAGGAGUACAGCACAGUAAAUCGGUUAUACAUAUAUCCAUUCCUUUUCAGAUUCUUUUCCCAUAUACUUUAUUACACAGUAUUGAGUAAAUUUCCUUGUGCUAUACACUAGGAGGUACUUAAUAUUUCUUCAAUGAAUCAAUCUGGGUAAGUUGAAUGAGGACUUUAAGUUGAAACUGAUCCAGUCACCUUAGUCUAUUUUCUAAGUUAUUUAAAAUAUACAACAUUGACUUUUUUCUCGUUACAAAAUUUUGGUACUAUGGAAUGCUGUGUUGGAAAUACUGAUCAAAUCAAACUCCCUGAUUUCAUGGAAGAUCAGUAUAAAUCUUAACUUUGUUCCUUAUGAGAAAAAACCAAAAACAAAAACCCACCAAAUACUUGUGCCCUCAUUGGGUGCAUGAAGCAGUUUUAGGUACUAGCACUACAUUUUCUUGAACCCAAGGUGGAUCCCUUUAAGGGCAAUUAAAAAGAUAUAACAUGACAUUGAUUUUUUUGCACACAUUCUUUCAAAUUUCUGUUUUCUAUAUUACAAGCUACCAUCCACAGAGGGUCAUAAAUCCUCUGGAGAAGUCAUAUGUUACACCACGUGGUUUGCUUUGCAUCUGUUUUGCAGCUGUUCACUUUGCAGUUUUAUUUUGCCUUUUGGAAACCUUAGAACAGUGCUUCUCAAACAUGAAUGCGCAUAUGAAUCACUUGGGGGAUCUUGUUAAAAUGCAGAUUUUGAGUCAGGAGGUCUGGGGAGGGCUGAGAUUCUUCACUUCUAAGGAGAUGCCAGGUGGUGCCAAUUCUGCUGCUCUGGACACCACACUUAGAGUGGUAGAGUUGUUGAAAAACAGGAACAAAAGUAUUCUGAGAGUGCUCAUGGGAUCAGUGUCAAUGUGCUUGCACUGAGAACCAGUCUGGCUGUGGAGGAGUUCUCCUUGAAGAUUCUAGUCUACUUUCCCCCUCAUCCUUCACUUUCCCUUUCUUUCAAAUAUUCUUUCCUGUUGUCUGGAUUGGAGAGAAGCUGGGAGGGAAAAGCCAAAAGCUAUGUUGAUUCAGGAUGUGUGGGUAGCACCUUAGGUUUCUUCAGGUCAUCUGGGCUAGAAGAAAAUAAAGGAUCCUACAGCCAGCUAUAACUGAAACCUCUGCGGCCUCUGUAUUUGGUGUGUGAGCAACCAGAAGCAGACCCUAAAUCAGUGGUUUCAGUUCCUUCAACUUUAUUUUACUAAUGUGAGAGAAGCAGCAGGCAUCUGCAAGGAGCUCUGCUCUGCUCCCUCCUUUACAUGUGCUGUGACUGGGGGCAGGGUUUCUCAGCUGCAGCACUGUUGACAUAUUGGGCUGGAUAAUUGCUUGCUGUGGGAGAACCUGAGUGUCCUGCACACUGUGGGAUAUUUAACAGCAUCCCCGGACUCUACCCUUUAGAUACCAGUGGCACCUCCUACCAUUUAGUUGUGAUAAUAAAAAAUGUCUCCAGACAUUCCUACAUAUCAACUUGGAGGUCAAAAUUUUCCCUGGUUGCGAACCACUGAUCUAAAGAUAAGGAAUCACCUGUCAGUUCACCCAAAUAUCUACCUGUCCCAACCUUAUCCCUGCCUUUUCAAAUAACAUCUUAUUUUUCACUUUCUAGGUGGAAUGUUUCUAAGUGGGAUACCAUGAAAUGAAGUUUCCAAAUAAGUGAAACAAAAGCAUAUGGGUUUGUACUCUGUGCCUAUUCCAAUGGAUUAGUUCUGGCUACUAGAGAUACUAGGUUGAAAAAGAUUUUGAAGAUUCCAUAUGCAGCAGGAAAGAAUGCUGUCUGCCACGGGUGUGAGGUAGAGGGGCCAUUAUGUUUGUCAUGGGUUUGUCUCAUUUAAACCUGUAAAUUGCUGUUUUCCUUUGCGCCCCAACAUUCAGUUUACUCUCAAUGAGGCAGUUGCUUUGGCCUAAUAGAAAGCAUGUUGGCCUUGGGAUCUGAAGAUUUAAGUUGGAAUCCCAGCUAUGCCAUUUACUAAAUAGGACCUUGAAUGAGUGGGUGAUUUAAUCUCCUCUAGUUUCUUCAGUUUAGAAUAGGGCUAUUUAUUCAUUCCUAGCUCAUAUGAUGGGUGUAAGGAUUAAAGGAGAUAAAUGAAAGUUUCUAAAAAGUAUCUGUUUUAUGAGGAAUGCUGAGUAAUAUAUGUGUGUUGAUAAAUUAUUUAUUCCUCCAAUAAAUAGAUGAUAUGACUAUAUGGCCAGGGAAUACUAUCCUACAUUAAAUGUUUGGAAAAUUUUGGAAGAGGAAAGUAGGGCCCUACAAGGGCUUGUCCAGAAGGAGAACGGAAAGAGCCAAUAGGAUUGGGCUAAUCAUCCUCUCACAGUGAAGGUAUAUUUGGAAGCUUUCAAACUGGCUCCCCCUGAGAGAAUAAUUUAGAAGAAGGAAGAAAUAUCUGUAUUUUCACAGAUGACUCAUUAGGGAAUGAGUCCUCAAAGGGUUGCUCCCAGACUAAUAGCAUCAAUAUCACCUGGGAGUUUGUCACAAUGAAUUCAUGGAGACCAGACUUUAAAAGCUUACUUGAGGAGUUCCCGUUGUGGCACAGUGGUUAAUGAAUCCAACUAGGAACCAUGAGGUUGCAAGUUCGAUCCCUGCGCUUGCUCAGUGGGUUAAGGAUCUGGCGUUGCCGUGAGCUGUGGUGUAGGUUGCAGAUGUGGCUCGGAUCCCGUGUUGCUGUGGCUCUGGCGUAGGCUGGCAGCUACAGCUCCGAUUGGAUCCCUAGCCUGGGAACCUCCAUAUGCUGUGGGAGUGGCCCAAGAAAUGGCAAAAAGACAAAAAAAAAAAGCUUACUUGACUCAUAGGCAAGAAACCCAGACCCUCACUCAGAGUUUUUUUUAUCUUCAUCUUGCUUCUUACAAAGUAUGAAUUUUCUAAUCCAUGGUAGAAAAGAAACAGCAAAUUCAAAGAGGUAAAGUGGAGGUAUUAGAAGCUGGCCCAAUGAAGACAAAAUAAAGUGACAGUUGUUCCCGUUGUGGUGCAGCGGAAACAAAUCUGACUAGGAACCACGAGGUUGUGGUUCGAUCCCUGGCCUGGCUCAGUGGGUUAAGGAUCUGGCAUUGCUGUGAGCUGUGGUAUAGGUCACAGAUGCGGCUUAGAUCCUGCGUUGCUGUGGUUGUGGUGUAGGCCAGCAGCUGUAGUUUCAAUUGAACCCCUAGCCUGGGAAACUCCAUGU